rnacentral:rRNA from 1 species
GACGAACGCUGGCAGCGUGCCUAAUACAUGCAAGUUGAGCGCUGAAGGUUGGUACUUGUACCAACUGGAUGAGCAGCGAACGGGUGAGUAACGCGUGGGGAAUCUGCCUUUGAGCGGGGGACAACAUUUGGAAACGAAUGCUAAUACCGCAUAAAAACUUUAAACACAAGUUUUAAGUUUGAAAGAUGCAAUUGCAUCACUCAAAGAUGAUCCCGCGUUGUAUUAGCUAGUUGGUGAGGUAAAGGCUCACCAAGGCGAUGAUACAUAGCCGACCUGAGAGGGUGAUCGGCCACAUUGGGACUGAGACACGGCCCAAACUCCUACGGGAGGCAGCAGUAGGGAAUCUUCGGCAGUGGACGAAAGUCUGACCGAGCAACGCCGCGUGAGUGAAGAAGGUUUUCGGAUCGUAAAACUCUGUUGGUAGAGAAGAACGUUGGUGAGAGUGGAAAGCUCAUCAAGUGACGGUAACUACCCAGAAAGGGACGGCUAACUACGUG